rnacentral:lncRNA from 1 species
CUAAUACAGAGUUAGUUUGCGGAUAUAUGUGAAAGGGAUUUGGGGCUUCACCACCACUCCACAUGUGGGCAGAAAUUACCAUGCAAUAGUAAGUUCUAAUUUUAUUUAUUUUUUAAAUUUUCCUUUUCCACUUUUGAAUUAGUGGAAGUCUUUUGUAGAUUUCUAUGAAAUUUCAUUUUAAAUUUUUUAUAGGCUUUUGUAGAACUCAAAAGACUUUUGAGACUUUCAUUUGAAAUAAAAUUCACGUAGAUCUAGUACAAUGAUAUGAAAUUCUCAUAUACGAGGUGUUAGUUCCCAUAAUUUUCCAUCCUUCCCCUUCUUCUCGUAUAAUAAUAAAAAAUUGAAAAAAAAUAUAAAUUUAAGACCUUAAUUAAUUAAAUAAAUAAUAAUAAUUAUACAUAUAUAUGAUUCAAUAUUAUUAGUAUAGUAUACUUUUAAAAAUAAAUAAAAAUCAAUGUAUUUAAUUUAAUUACAAUUUUUUCAUAUAAAAUUUUAUAAUUUAAUAAAAAAUAGAUAUUUUUCACAAAAAAAUAGAUAUUUUUCACAAAAAAAUAAAUAAAAAAGAAAAAAAGCUACAAGAACCCAAUUUAAUUUUUCAUAGAAAAUAGAGAUAAAUAAUAAAAGAGAGAGAAAUGAAAAUAAAUAUAAUCAAUAAGAAAAAAAAUAAAUUUUAAUCAUAUAUGUCCACAGAAAUUUAAAGUAAAAAUAAUUUGUGAAAGUCUCCCAAAAUCUCAUGAAUAAUGAGAGACAAAUUUUAAGAUUUUUAUAUUAAUACUUUCUGUUUAAAAGUUAGUAUUCCGAAGACUUUUAUAAAAAUUUCUAAAAGUCAUUAAAAUUUGAAUACCCCAAGGCUUAUAGAAAUUUCUAAAAAGUUUUAAUUGAAUACACCGUAACUUUUAGAAACAUUUUAAAAGUCUAUAAAAAUCUCAAUUGAAUACACUGUGACUUUUAGAGACUUCUUAAAAUUCUAUAAAAGUUUCAAUUGAAUACACCGUGAUUUUUAGAGAGUCUCAAAAAGUCCCAACUGAAUACCCUUAAACUUUUUAAAUCCCAAAAAGUCAUUAAAAGUUUUAAUUAAAUACACUCCCCUAAGUGAUUUGAUGUUUCUUUUUCAAUAAUUACUGGUUAUUAAGCUUUCCAGAUGUAGUUGUAUUGUUUGAUAAGAUAACCCAUGCAUUCUAUAGUAAUAGCAAAUAAUUGCAUUUCUAGAUCAUAGGUAAAAAAUUGCUAAAUUAGCAGUGAAUUAGUGCCAGUGUAAUUUGUCUGAUAAUGUUUGUAUCUCAUCUUAAUUUGGGAAUCAGAACAAUGUAAUGAAAUAUAGACUAAUCCAAACAAAAAUCAGGUGAAAAAUGUGAGGGAAGGCUAUUGGACUAUGAACUUAAUUUGAUAUGAUAUUCGUUCUUUUCUAUCUAUGCUGUGCUGUAUGAGUUUUGCCGUUUUGGUGGACAUAUUUUUUUGCUUUCAUUGACUAAUUACAAAAAAUUAUAGAUUCAAUUUGUAUUAAUGUUAGGCAUCUUGUAGUUUCUGAUACCUGGUCCGUUCAUAAUUUCUUUUUGGCAUUACAAUUGAACUAACUUCGUGUCCCCAAAUUUGUAGUGGUGUGUAAAUGGAAUGGGAUUGUGGUUUUUGUUUUGGCCCAGUAGCAUUGCUUUAGAAGAUAUAUGACUGUGCUAAUGAAAGAUUUUGGGAUCUAUUAAGUUGUCAAAAUGCAUCUUCUGAAUUCUAGAAAACCUAUAUUUCUUGAGAGUCUGGUUAGCUUAGCAAGGCUUAAGCUUUGUACCACAAAUGGAAUAUGUAUUAUUGCUGAUACAGAAAUUUUCAUAAUGAACAGAUGGUUUAUCUUUUUCAAUUUUCAGAAAUCAUGGCAUUAAAUAUUAUGUGUAGAGUUAGUCAAAUAAUCUUUGUAAUUUAUUAAUCUUUUGGUGAUUUUUGACUUAAUUGAACUUCUUUUGGAAACAAGUUUUGCUUACUUCUUGCAAAGUAUAUGAAUAUGUCAUUUUGAUCUCAUUACGACUAUCUUUCUAAAAUAGGGUUAUGUUAAAUCCAUUCCAAUCAAAAUCUUUUGGAUUUUGCCAUUCUUUGCUAUAUUUAGUAAUUCAGUUUGCAAUCCAUAAUCAAUAACAAAAGAAGCAUCUCUUCUUCAAGAAAGUAAUGAUGAAAUUUUGAAUGAAAUCUAUUCUGCUAUUAAGGACUCUUCCAUUUAUAGAGAAGAAAUAUGUACCACUUAUGUUGACAAACUCGAUGCUGCUGGAGAUCUUCUAACUGUUGCUGGGCUAAUGCAUUCGUUAUGUAAGAAGCACAUAUUCUUUGGCCCUUGCACGUAUGAGCGCCUUCUAGAUGCUGCUGCAGGUGAAAAAAAUAAUAAUAUUGACCUGGUCUUCCAAAUUUUCUUGGUGUUUUGUGACUCUAUAAGAUUAACUUCAUAUCUUAUCCUUGCUAGAAUGUUUGUGAAGCACAAUGAUCCUGUCAUAUUAUUGAAAUUUAUUAGCGAAAACUCAGGAAUGGUGUUCCGUUGAAAUGAAAUAGUUCUGAACAGACUUAUCUUUGCCUUUGAUAAAUGCGAACAUGUUGACA